CACAGAGAGAAGAUUAGCAUGGCCCCUAUGCAAGGAUGGCAUGCAAAAUCUACACCCAAACAUCU
rnacentral:snRNA from 1 species